AUGGAACAAUUGGCUGCACAUGUGUGUGGAUGGAACGAUAAGUACCUGGGGUGGGCCGCGGAGGAGGAGCGGGGGAGGGGGGAGGCCGGGGAGAGAAGCGCCGCCGCCAUGGCCGCCCUGUCGCCGGUGGCCGGCCUCACUCUCGUCGAGGAAGAGCAGAGGAGGACACGAGAGAGCUUCCCCCCGGCAACGAGGAAACGUUAUCCUGAUAGCACGGCACGGUUACACGCCUACUCCACGCCACGGACACGCGGUGACUCGUUGGCAUUCACCCUGCCCCACCUUCCUUCUCUGCCCAUCCAGUGGCUGGAGACCGCACACCUCUGCUUACUACUCCUAUUCCACGCCUCGUCGCUGUCCGCGCGGUCGCUUGCCAUGCUGCUCCGGCCAGAGCACCGCCUCCGCUCGCCGCCAGCGACCGCGCCCGCCCCUUCCCGAGCCUCCAUUUCCGUCUCCGCGCCGGCGCGCCCUGCCGUCUCCCGCCUCCCUCGCGGCGCGCUCCGGCUCCCCCGCGCGGCUUCUCCGCUCAGGGGCAAAGCGUCGAGCGCCGUGCGCGCGUCGGCCGGACCGGCGGGCAUGCCGUCCGUGGCGCACCGGGAGGUGGCGCGGGCCGUGGCGGGAGAGGCGGAGGCGCGGCUGGGCGACCGGCUGCUGCCCUCGGCCGUCCCCGCCGACGUCGCCGAGUUCCGCAACGGCGACGGCACCGCCCUCGGCUCCCUGGACGUGCGCCGCGGCGCGCCCGGCUCCUCGAUCGAUUUCAUGCUGCAGUCGUCGCUUCACUGCAAAGUCCCGAACGGUGCAAUCGACAUCACGUCUCUCUUCAUUAACCUAAACGCCUCGACGGACGCGCCACAUUUCGUCAUGGAGUUCAUACAGGGCAGCCCAACUUCAAUGGUCGUGCUUCUGGACCUGCUGCCACGGAAAGACCUCGCGCUCCACCCGGAGUACAUCGAGAAGUACUAUGGAAAUACUGAGGCGGACAAGCAACGCAAGAUCAUCGAAGAAUUGCCGCAAGCCCGCCCGUACCUUUCGCCGUCCCUCUUCGUGCGCAGCGCAUUCUCUCCCACGGCGGUGUUCUUCACCAUUGACUGUGGGCAAGGAGGGGAGAGUGUCUUGGAGGAGAUAGUGCAUGGUCAUCUGGCGUCUGUUGUUAAGGGUCUUCUUCAGAUAUGGCUUGGUACUUGCGCCGGUGACACCUCUGAAGUGGACGAGGGCGAGAGGGAGAUCAUGGUUAAGAGGGACCGGACUGUAAGAUCAAAGUCGAUCGAGGUCGACCUGACCGCGAAUUUGCCGAGGAUGUUUGGCCCCGACGUGUCCGGCCGUGUCAUCGCCGAAAUUCGUAAGGCCUUUGGGGUGGAGGAGGCCUAG
rnacentral:rRNA from 1 species